GGGUUGUGAGGUUAAGCGACUAAGCGUACACGGUGGAUGCCCUGGCAGUCAGAGGCGAUGAAGGACGUGCUAAUCUGCGAAAAGCGUCGGUAAGGUGAUAUGAACCGUUAUAACCGGCGAUGUCCGAAUGGGGAAACCCAGUGUGAUUCGUCACACUAUCGUUAACUGAAUACAUAGGUUAACGAGGCGAACCGGGGGAACUGAAACAUCUAAGUACCCCGAGGAAAAGAAAUCAACCGAGAUUCCCCCAGUAGCGGCGAGCGAACGGGGAGCAGCCCAGAGUCUGAAUCAGCUUGUGUGUUAGUGGAACGGUCUGGAAAGUCCGACGGUACAGGGUGAUAGUCCCGUACACCAAAAUGCACAGGUUGUGAACUCGAAGAGUAGGGCGGGACACGUGGUAUCCUGUCUGAAUAUGGGGGGACCAUCCUCCAAGGCUAAAUACUCCUGACUGACCGAUAGUGAACCAGUACCGUGAGGGAAAGGCGAAAAGAACCCCGGCGAGGGGAGUGAAAAAGAACCUGAAACCGUGUACGUACAAGCAGUGGGAGCACCUUCGGGUGUGACUGCGUACCUUUUGUAUAAUGGGUCAGCGACUUAUAUUCUGUAGCAAGGUUAACCGUAUAGGGGAGCCGCAGGGAAACCGAGUCUUAACUGGGCGUUAAGUUGCAGGGUAUAGACCCGAAACCCGGUGAUCUAGCCAUGGGCAGGUUGAAGGUUGGGUAACACUAACUGGAGGACCGAACCGACUAAUGUUGAAAAAUUAGCGGAUGACUUGUGGCUGGGGGUGAAAGGCCAAUCAAACCGGGAGAUAGCUGGUUCUCCCCGAAAGCUAUUUAGGUAGCGCCUCGUGAAUUCAUCUUCGGGGGUAGAGCACUGUUUCGGCUAGGGGGUCAUCCCGACUUACCAACCCGAUGCAAACUACGAAUACCGAAGAAUGUUAUCACGGGAGACACACGGCGGGUGCUAACGUCCGUCGUGAAGAGGGAAACAACCCAGACCGCCAGCUAAGGUCCCAAAGUCAUGGUUAAGUGGGAAACGAUGUGGGAAGGCACAGACAGCCAGGAUGUUGGCUUAGAAGCAGCCAUCAUUUAAAGAAAGCGUAAUAGCUCACUGGUCGAGUCGGCCUGCGCGGAAGAUGUAACGGGGCUAAACCAUGCACCGAAGCUGCGGCAGCGACACUAUGUGUUGUUGGGUAGGGGAGCGUUCUGUAAGCCUGCGAAGGUGACCUGUGAGGGUUGCUGGAGGUAUCAGAAGUGCGAAUGCUGACAUAAGUAACGAUAAAGCGGGUGAAAAGCCCGCUCGCCGGAAGACCAAGGGUUCCUGUCCAACGUUAAUCGGGGCAGGGUGAGUCGACCCCUAAGGCGAGGCCGAAAGGCGUAGUCGAUGGGAAACAGGUUAAUAUUCCUGUACUUGGUGUUACUGCGAAGGGGGGACGGAGAAGGCUAUGUUAGCCGGGCGACGGUUGUCCCGGUUUAAGCAUGUAGGCUGGUUGUCCAGGCAAAUCCGGAUAAUCAAGGCUGAGGUGUGAUGACGAGGCACUACGGUGCUGAAGUAACAAAUGCCCUGCUUCCAGGAAAAGCCUCUAAGCAUCAGGUAACAUCAAAUCGUACCCCAAACCGACACAGGUGGUCAGGUAGAGAAUACCAAGGCGCUUGAGAGAACUCGGGUGAAGGAACUAGGCAAAAUGGUGCCGUAACUUCGGGAGAAGGCACGCUGGUGUGUAGGUGAAGCCCCUGCGGGUGGAGCUGAGACCAGUCGAAGAUACCAGCUGGCUGCAACUGUUUAUUAAAAACACAGCACUGUGCAAACACGAAAGUGGACGUAUACGGUGUGACGCCUGCCCGGUGCCGGAAGGUUAAUUGAUGGGGUUAUCCGUAAGGAGAAGCUCUUGAUCGAAGCCCCGGUAAACGGCGGCCGUAACUAUAACGGUCCUAAGGUAGCGAAAUUCCUUGUCGGGUAAGUUCCGACCUGCACGAAUGGCGUAAUGAUGGCCAGGCUGUCUCCACCCGAGACUCAGUGAAAUUGAACUCGCUGUGAAGAUGCAGUGUACCCGCGGCAAGACGGAAAGACCCCGUGAACCUUUACUAUAGCUUGACACUGAACAUUGAGCCUUGAUGUGUAGGAUAGGUGGGAGGCUUUGAAGCGUGGACGCCAGUCUGCGUGGAGCCAACCUUGAAAUACCACCCUUUAAUGUUUGAUGUUCUAACGUUGGCCCCUGACCGGGGUUGCGGACAGUGUCUGGUGGGUAGUUUGACUGGGGCGGUCUCCUCCCAAAGCGUAACGGAGGAGCACGAAGGUUAGCUAAUCCUGGUCGGACAUCAGGAGGUUAGUGCAAUGGCAUAAGCUAGCUUGACUGCGAGCGUGACGGCGCGAGCAGGUGCGAAAGCAGGUCAUAGUGAUCCGGUGGUUCUGAAUGGAAGGGCCAUCGCUCAACGGAUAAAAGGUACUCCGGGGAUAACAGGCUGAUACCGCCCAAGAGUUCAUAUCGACGGCGGUGUUUGGCACCUCGAUGUCGGCUCAUCACAUCCUGGGGCUGAAGUAGGUCCCAAGGGUAUGGCUGUUCGCCAUUUAAAGUGGUACGCGAGCUGGGUUUAGAACGUCGUGAGACAGUUCGGUCCCUAUCUGCCGUGGGCGCUGGAGAAUUGAGGGGGGCUGCUCCUAGUACGAGAGGACCGGAGUGGACGCAUCACUGGUGUUCGGGUUGUCAUGCCAAUGGCACUGCCCGGUAGCUAAAUGCGGAAGAGAUAAGUGCUGAAAGCAUCUAAGCACGAAACUUGCCCCGAGAUGAGUUCUCCCUGAGACUUUAAGUCUCCUGAAGGAACGUUGAAGACGACGACGUUGAUAGGCCGGGUGUGUAAGCGCAGCGAUGCGUUGAGCUAACCGGUACUAAUGAACCGUGAGGCUUAACCUUACAACGCCGAAG
rnacentral:rRNA from 1 species